AUGAACGCUAGCUACAGGCUUAACACAUGCAAGUCGAGGGGCAGCAUUUUAGUUUGCUUGCAAACUAAAGAUGGCGACCGGCGCACGGGUGAGUAACACGUAUCCAACCUGCCGAUAACUCGGGGAUAGCCUUUCGAAAGAAAGAUUAAUAUCCGAUAGUAUAUUAAAACCGCAUGGUUUUACUAUUAAAGAAUUUCGGUUAUCGAUGGGGAUGCGUUCCAUUAGUUUGUUGGCGGGGUAACGGCCCACCAAGACUACGAUGGAUAGGGGUUCUGAGAGGAAGGUCCCCCACAUUGGAACUGAGACACGGUCCAAACUCCUACGGGAGGCAGCAGUGAGGAAUAUUGGUCAAUGGACGAGAGUCUGAACCAGCCAAGUAGCGUGAAGGAUGACUGCCCUAUGGGUUGUAAACUUCUUUUAUAUGGGAAUAAAGUAUUCCACGUGUGGGAUUUUGUAUGUACCAUAUGAAUAAGGAUCGGCUAACUCCGUGCCAGCAGCCGCGGUAAUACGGAGGAUCCGAGCGUUAUCCGGAUUUAUUGGGUUUAAAGGGAGCGUAGGUGGAUUGUUAAGUCAGUUGUGAAAGUUUGCGGCUCAACCGUAAAAUUGCAGUUGAAACUGGCAGUCUUGAGUACAGUAGAGGUGGGCGGAAUUCGUGGUGUAGCGGUGAAAUGCUUAGAUAUCACGAAGAACUCCGAUUGCGAAGGCAGCUCACUAGACUGCAACUGACACUGAUGCUCGAAAGUGUGGGUAUCAAACAGGAUUAGAUACCCUGGUAGUCCACACAGUAAACGAUGAAUACUCGCUGUUUGCGAUAUACAGUAAGCGGCCAAGCGAAAGCAUUAAGUAUUCCACCUGGGGAGUACGCCGGCAACGGUGAAACUCAAAGGAAUUGACGGGGGCCCGCACAAGCGGUGGAGCAUGUGGUUUAAUUCGAAGCAACGCGAAGAACCUUACCAAGGCUUGACAUAUACAGGAAUAUUUAAGAGAUUAAAUAGCUCUUCGGAGUCUGUAUACAGGUGGUGCAUGGUUGUCGUCAGCUCGUGUCGUGAGAUGUUGGGUUAAGUCCCGCAACGAGCGCAACCCUUAUCUUUAGUUACUAACAGGUCAUGCUGAGGACUCUAGAGAGACUGCCGUCGUAAGAUGUGAGGAAGGUGGGGAUGACGUCAAAUCAGCACGGCCCUUACGUCCGGGGCUACACACGUGUUACAAUGGGGGGUACAGAAGGCAGCUACCUGGCGACAGGAUGCUAAUCCCAAAAACCUCUCUCAGUUCGGAUCGAAGUCUGCAACCCGACUUCGUGAAGCUGGAUUCGCUAGUAAUCGCGCAUCAGCCAUGGCGCGGUGAAUACGUUCCCGGGCCUUGUACACACCGCCCGUCAAGCCAUGAAAGCCGGGGGUACCUGAAGUACGUAACCGCAAGGAGCGUCCUAGGGUAAAACUGGUAAUUGGGGCU
rnacentral:rRNA from 1 species